CUGAUUGUGAGAUGUAGGAGGCGAAGGGCGGAUCUAAUGCAGGUAAAAACAAAGAUGGCAGACAAUGCAAGUUCACUCACAGCCUGUGGGGAAGAGGACACGUGUUUGACCGAGGAACACGGGAAUGGACUCAGGAAAUCGUGAACUGCGUCAUGUGUGUUCGAACUCCAUCUGUUCAGAGCCACUGCGGUCAUCUUCAUUGCGAAAAUACUCUCCAGACAGCAGAAGUGUGGGCGGCAGAGAUAGCAGGGAGGUCAGUGCAUUGGCUGCCUUCACCAGUCCCACAGCAUUCAAAUAUGAGCCUGACUAUCUCGUCAGAAUAACUCUGGA
rnacentral:lncRNA from 1 species